UCGGGAAUUUUGGGCAAUGGGCGAAAGCCUGACCCAGCAACGCCGCGUGAGGGAUGAAGUAUUUCGGUAUGUAAACCUCGAAAGAAUGGGAAGAAUAAAUGACGGUACCAUUUAUAAGCUCCGGCUAACUACAUGCCAGCAGCCGCGGUAAUACGUAGGGAGCAAGCGUUGUUCGGAUUUACUGGGCGUAAAGGGCGCGUAGGCGGCGCGGUAAGUCACUUGUGAAAUCUCUGAGCUUAACUCAGAACGGCCAAGUGAUACUGCUGUGCUAGAGUGCGGAAGAGGCAACCGGAAUUCUUGGUGUAGCGGUGAAAUGCGUAGAUAUCAAGAGGAACACCUGAGGCGAAGGCGGGUUGCUGGGCCGACACUGACGCUGAUGCGCGAAAGCCAGGGGAGCAAACG
rnacentral:rRNA from 1 species